rnacentral:rRNA from 1 species
GUACUAAAACAAUUUAAUUAAAAAUACACAUAUUAAUUUUUAGUUACAAAAACAGAUAUUUUAAAACAAACUUAAAAGAUGGCCGAUUCCAAGCCUACUAAACCGCCUCCAACACUACUAACCAUGCACUUUUUAACAACAUGAGAAAGCUAAUCCUUUCUCACACAAGACUUGAUUUUCAAAUCCUUGCCAGAAAACUUCCAUAAAAUUCAUCCCAAGGCAAAAAUCAUAAAUCAAGCCGGCACUCUAAUGCCUUUCCCGACCAACCAGCUAUCAAAAAACGCGAAAAGAAUAUCACUCCUAUUUUUAAGUCUGAGCACGUCUUUACAACGAUGACGCAAGCUAAAAAAUAGCUCGUUUUCUUUCGGACCAACUUUAUCUAAAAAACCUCUUAAAAAACCAUGAUGCAAAAGGUAC